AAUCAACGCUGGCGGCGUGCCUCAGACAUGCAAGUCGAACGAUUAAAGCUCCCUUCGGGGAGUGCAUAGAGUGGCGCACGGGUGAGUAACACGUAAGUAAUCUACCCUCGAGUGGGGAAUAACAGUCGGAAACGACUGCUAAUACCGCAUAAUGCAGCGGCACCGCAAGGUGACAGUUGUUAAAGGAGCAAUCCGCUUGAGGAGGAGCUUGCGGCAGAUUAGCUAGUUGGUAAGGUAAUGGCUUACCAAGGCUACGAUCUGUAUCCGGUCUAAGAGGACGGUCGGACACACUGACACUGAAUAACGGGUCAGACUCCUACGGGAGGCAGCAGUCGGGAAUUUUGGGCAAUGGGCGAAAGCCUGACCCAGCAACGCCGCGUGAAGGAUGAAGUAUUUCGGUAUGUAAACUUCGAAAGAAUGGGAAGAAUAAAUGACGGUACCAUUUAUAAGCUCCGGCUAACUACGUGCCAGCAGCCGCCGUAAUAC
rnacentral:rRNA from 1 species